rnacentral:rRNA from 1 species
CCUACGGGAGGCUGCAGUGGGGAAUAUUGCACAAUGGGGGAAACCCUGAUGCAGCGACGCCGCGUGAGCGAUGAAGUAUUUCGGUAUGUAAAGCUCUAUCAGCCGGGAAGAAAAUGCCGGUACCUGACUAAGAAGCCCCGGCUAACUACGUGACAGCAGCCGCGGUAAUACGUAGGGGGCAAGCGUUAUCCGGAUUUACUGGGGGUAAAGGGAGCGUAGACGGCUUGGAAAGCCAGAUGUGAAAGGCUGGGGCUCAACCCAAGGACUGCAUUUGCAACUGUCAGGCUAGAGUGUCGGAGAGGCAGGCGGAAUGCCUAGUGUAGCGGUGAAAUGCGUAGAUAUUAGGAGGAACACCAGUGGCGAAGGCGGCCUGCUGGACGAUGACUGACGUUGAGGCUCGAAAGCGUGGGGAGCAAACAGGAUUAGAUACCCCAGUAGUC